rnacentral:tRNA from 1 species
CAAGACGUAGCUAUAAUACCAAAGCAUUCAGCUUACACCUGAAAGAUGUCUACAGACCCAGACCGUCUUGA